UGGGGAAUCUUGCACAAUGGGCGCAAGCCUGAUGCAGCGACGCCGCGUGGGGGACGAAGGCCCUCGGGUUGUAAACCCCUUUCGGCAGGGACGAAGCGAAAGUGACGGUACCUGCAGAAGAAGGUCCGGCUAACUACGUGCCAGCAGCCGCGGUAAGACGUAGGGACCGAGCGUUGUCCGGAUUCAUUGGGCGUAAAGUGCGCGCAGGCGGCCGCGCAAGUCGGGUGUGAAAUCCCGGGGCUCAACCCCGGGACUGCAUCCGAUACUGCGUGGCUCGAGGCAGGUAGGGGAGAGUGGAAUUCCCGGUGUAGCGGUGAAAUGCGCAGAUAUCGGGAGGAACACCGGUGGCGAAGGCGGCUCUCUGGGCCUGUCCUGACGCUCAGGCGCGAAAGCUAGGGGAGCGAACAG
rnacentral:rRNA from 1 species